rnacentral:rRNA from 1 species
AUUGAACGCUGGCGGCAGGCCUAACACAUGCAAGUCGAACGAGUGGCGGACGGGUGAGUAAUGUCUGGGAAACUGCCCGAUGGAGGGGGAUAACUACUGGAAACGGUAGCUAAUACCGCAUACCAUCGGAUGUGCCCAGAUGGAAUUAGCGAGUAGGUGGGGUAACGGCUCACCUAGGCGACGAUCCCUAGCUGGUCUGAGCGGAGGACCGGCCACACGGGAACUGAGACACGGUCCAGACUCCGACGGGAGGCAGCAGUGGGGAAUAUGGCACAAUGGGGGAAAGCCUGAUGCAGCCAUGCCGCGUGUAGGAAGAGGGCCUUCGGGUUGUAAAGUACGUUCAGCGAGGAGGCGUUACUCGCAGAAGAAGCACCGGCUAACUCCGUGCCAGCAGCCGCGGUAAUUC